rnacentral:rRNA from 1 species
CACGUAGUUAGCCGGUGCUUCUUCUCCAGGUACCGUCACAAAACGCUUCGUCCCUGGCGAAAGGAGUUUACAACCCGAAGGCCGUCAUCCCCCACGCGGCGUCGCUGCAUCAGGCUUGCGCCCAUUGUGCAAUAUUCCCCACUGCUGCCUCCCGUAGGAGUCUGGGCCGUAUCUCAGCCCCAAUGUGGCCGACCAACCUCUCAGUCCGGCUACCCGUCGCCGCCUUGGUAGGCCAUUACCCCACCAACAAGCUGAUAGGCCGCGGGCUCAUCCUACACCGAAAAAACUUUCCACCACACACACUAAAGCAUGGUCCUAUCCGGUAUUAGACCCAGUUUCCCAGGCUUAUCCCAGAGUGCAGGGCAGAUCACCCACGUGUUACUCACCCGUUCGCCACUCGAGUACCUCCGAAGAGGCCUUUCCGUUCGACUUGCAUGUGUUAAGCACGCCGCAGCGUUCGUCCUGAGCCAGGAUCAAAACUCU